UACGUAGGGUGCAAGCGUUGUCCGGAAUUAUUGGGCGUAAAGAGCUCGUAGGCGGUUUGUCGCGUCUGCUGUGAAAACUCAGGGCUUAACCCUGAGCCUGCAGUGGGUACGGGCAGACUAGAGUGUGGUAGGGGAGAUCGGAAUUCCUGGUGUAGCGGUGAAAUGCGCAGAUAUCAGGAGGAACACCGGUGGCGAAGGCGGAUCUCUGGGCCAUUACUGACGCUGAGGAGCGAAAGCGUGGGGAGCGAACAGG
rnacentral:rRNA from 1 species